rnacentral:rRNA from 1 species
UACGUAGGGGGCAAGCGUUGUCCGGAAUCAUUGGGCGUAAAGCGCGCGUAGGCGGCCCGAUCAGUCCGCUGUAAAAGUCCAGGGCUCAACCCUGGAAAGCCGGUGGAUACUGUCGGGCUAGAGUCCGGAAGAGGCGAGUGGAAUUCCUGGUGUAGCGGUGGAAUGCGCAGAUAUCAGGAGGAACACCGAUAGCGAAGGCAGACGUCGCUGGGACGGUGACUGGACGCUGAGGUGCGAAGACGUGGGGAGCGAACAGG